AGACUCCUCUGGUAAACUAUGUUGGCCCUAAACCAAUUAUUCUGCCUCCUAGUUGUGGAUUGUCCCGACCUUCAUUCACUCCGAACAUAAGCAAAGAUAUGAUCUCGUAUAUUUUAUUUCUACUUCAAUCGUAUUGACAUACCCUAUGGUCUAACUAGACUUCUCUUUCUUUUAUGUAGGGCCCAAACUAAUCGAACAUACCUUUCGUAAGUAGUUUGAGGUAGAUGGGAAAACACAAAUUCUAUGUCGCUUUCAUUGGUCGUAACCCAGGUAUCUACCUAUCCUGGCACGAAUGUCAUAGACAAGUCAAUGAGUACAAAGGGCAUUAUACAAGUCGUAUGACACAUUUGAUGAAGCGGAGCACGCGUAUAGGUCUUACAGUACAACACACGUUGGACAAGUUAAUAAUCAGAGCGUAGGGCAAUAUAGUACAACUAUUGCAACUGUAAUAGACUUCAUUUUUGGGAUGAUCGUAAUGUAUACUUGGCUCGGGAUAGUAGGAUAUGAGUGAUGUAUUCAGUUGUCAUGACUUGUCAUUUUGUAAUUAAAUCCAAGUUUACUAAUUCUAAGCAUAAUUCAUCCUUUCAAGAUCUACAUACUUCCCUUAUUACCUUAGUAAGAUGGAGACUGUUCAGGAGCUGUUCAACCCGAAAACGUAUAUUUUGU